UUGGCCUCCAGUCCGCGGUGCAACAAGUGGCGAGGGGGCCCCGUCGAAGCACCUCGCCUCGUGUGAGGCGGGAGGAGAGACAGGUCUAGAUACAGAGACAGCGGGACACUUAAGAUCUGCAGAGAAAUACAGACAGAUAGACCAGGAGACAAGACAAGGAGAUGCAAAAAGACAGGGCCACGCGCUAAAGAACCACCGUUAGGUUCCCGAGCCACAACCUUUUAUAUAAAAUGGGGAAAAAGAGAAGGAAUGACUGGAUGCCAAGUGAACUCUACAUAAAUCCAAGAAAGUGAAAAUAUAUCAUUUUGAUCAUCCUAAAUGGCUCCUAAAAGGUACAUUUCAAGUGCAGCAAACAUCUCAUCAUCAUCAUCAUCCUGUUUGGCAACCACUUCUGACACGUCAAUGAAGAUGCAACGCAAGUCCAUGGGUUUUCCGCACUCUCCGGUGUUCGUCGGUAACUUCACUGAAGAGCUGUGCCAAUUGGGUAGCUUCUCCAGUGCAAUUGCGCACACAACGUGCCAAAGUGGAGACCAAAUUCUCAUGGAAAAUGCAAAGCCGCAAGCCAAGCAGCCACGAAGACGAUCAACGCUGUCUCAGGCCUUUCUGAACAGCAAGAAAAGGAGGUCUAUCAAGUCCGAAUUCACCGGCAACAGCAGCAUCGAGACUCGGGAUGAACAAAUUAUAAAGGUGGAUGGGUUGCAAGCAAGGGAAUUGUGGGACACCCAAUUCAGAGGAAUGAUUUCCCAAAGGUCAUCGUCAAUAUGCCUUUGAAAAACCCACACCGCAGACUGUCCAAUGUAAAGAGGAUAGAAGCAUUACCAUUCGUCCCUUUGGAGAAUGUUGAGGAAGCAGCGCCAAAUUGUCAUGCAAAUAUGUUGCUGUGUCGUGAAUUUAAUGCCAAGCCUCUGCCUGAUAUUGAUGAAGCCCUGAGGCUGAUUUCUGGAAGAACUGAACAGGUAGAAAAUUGUUUAAUUUCACCUGCAUUGGUGGACUUAGUUCCCAGUCCACUCGUGGUCCCCAGUCCACCCGUGCACCUGGUCCCCACACAGAGAACACCACCACGCGUCUUGAGAAGCCGACCAGCCAUUGCUUCUCGGACAGGGGCUGUCCCUCUUGCUCGCCCACAGAGCCCGCCACGGCCGGCACAGCAGCGAGUGGCGCAGAAAAUUGUGGCCAAAAGCAACCCUGACAAGGCCACAAUAAAGUCGAACCGCUCCAGACAACUCCAGAUGACGAGAAACCCCUCCACUCCACCGCAGAAUAAUUCUGGAGCCAAGAUGCAGCAAGAAAGACCGACGUCUGAAGAGGACCGCAGACUACAACUCAAUGGCUGGCUCCUCACUCAAAGGAAGUCUUACCGACGACCCCCCAUGUCGGAGGAGGCCCCCAUCACCAGGGUUUCGACACGAAAGAUGGCGGGCUUGACUCGGAAAUAAACAAGAUGCCCGUUAACGUAAAGUAUAUGGGUGCGUUUUAAAUGCAAUGCUUUUGCAAACGCAUUUAUUUUAAAUCCAGCGAAGAGUUGAUUAUGGGAACAACAUUCUACAAGUUUGUGUUGUUUGUUUAAAACUCCAGUGAUAAUUUGUACGAUAUAUAAAUAUACAUGUAAUAAAUUCAACCCCCCAAGUACUAUUUGGGGCCGUAACUCAAGA